rnacentral:lncRNA from 1 species
GUUCCGUUUUAAUUUGAGGUAAAAUAAAGUUAUGUUCCCUUUGUCUUAAAAUCCUUUGUUUACACACAGGAAGCAAUUCAUGUAGGGCAUGUUCUGGAUUCGAUACGAUUUUGCUAAAUAAUUUUCUGUCUCUCUCCUCGAUCAAUUCAGCUAUUGUUGUAUCGCGACUCUUCUGAAAGCCGCACUGAAUCAUGCAUGUAAAUCGAUAUCAUCCUUGAAAACAUUAAAUUUCGACCACACAAUCAACAUUGUUGAUUUAUCACGCUAAUCGUGGAUUACUUGCCUGCAUAUCGCCAUGGUAUUUUUAUUAAUCCCGCUUCCCGCGAUGGAAUAAAAUCCCGCUUCCCGACGAAUAUUUCUCUUAAAAUUCCGAUUCCCGAAUUUAGACGCAUCCCGCAAAACCUGUACAGGCCCCUCCAAAUAAA